GAUGAACGCUAGCGGGAGGCCUAACACAUGCAAGCCGAGCGGUAUUGUUUCUUCGGCUUUGUGAGAGCGGCGUACGGGUGCGUAACACGUGUGCAACCUUCCUUUAUCUGGGGGAUAGCCUUUCGAAAGGAAGAUUAAUACUCCAUAAUAUAUUGAACGGCAUCGUUUAAUAUUGAAAGCUCCGGCGGAUAGAGAUGGGCACGCGCAAGAUUAGCUAGUUGGUGAGGUAACGGCUCACCAAGGCGAUGAUCUUUAGGGGGUCUGAGAGGGUGAUCCCCCACACUGGUACUGAGACACGGACCAGACUCCUACGGGAGGCAGCAGUGAGGAAUAUUGGUCAAUGGGUGCAAGCCUGAACCAGCCAUCCCGCGUGAAGGACGACUGCCCUAUGGGUUGUAAACUUCUUUUGUAUAGGGAUAAACCUACCCUCGAGAGGGUAGCUGAAGGUACUAUACGAAUAAGCACCGGCUAACUCCGUG
rnacentral:rRNA from 1 species